UUAACCCACACAACCAACGCCAGGGUAUUACGAGCCUUAGCUUAAAACCCAAAGGACUUGACGGUGUCCUACCCAACUAGAGGAGCCUGUUCUAUAAUCGAUAACCCCCGAUCUACCUAACCCUACCUUGCCAAUCAGUCUGUAUACCUCCGUCGUAAGCUUACCAUAUGAAUGUUUACAGUAAGUUUAAAGGUCAUAUCACCCACACGUCAGGUCAAGGUGCAAUUUAUGGUGGGGCAAGCAAUGGGCUACAGUUUCUAUACUAGAACAAACGAAAUACUGCAUGAAAUACAGUCACGAAGGCGGAUUUAGUAGUAAAAAGAAAAUAACGUGUUCUUUUUAACAAGGCCCUAGGACGUGUACACACCGCCCGUCACCCUCUUCAACAGUACAUAUAUGUUUAUAACAAAACUUCACAUUUUAGAAGAGGCAAGUCGUAACAUGGUAAGUGUACCGGAAGGUGCACUUGGAUUAA
rnacentral:rRNA from 1 species